UCUCUUUCACGAGCUCCGAACUCGUCCGAAAACUCCCGUGGCCCAGCCGGUCUUGGCGUUAACAAACUUCCACCAGCAGCUUUGUUUUUUUUUUUUUUUUUUUUCGCGUGCUCGCCAUCAUCUCCCUGCAUCCCAAAUAAACCAGUGCUUCGGUCGGCGAUACCGCAUCGAUCAUCCAUCGAUCCAUUGAGGGCUUUACGCUCGGCACUGCCCCCUCCCCAUUGCGCGCCUCUUUCGCAAGCGCAACGACGAGCAAGCCGAUCGUGCAGUCACGCCUUCAGGUAUUUAGAAUAAUGAGGACAUAACACACCAUUAUGGCUGAUAAAUUUCAAAAAGAAGAGUUAAGCCACGGCGCGAAGAGCGAAAGACUGCUCGCUACGGAGAGAAUCACAACGCGGACUUCCCUGAAAACCCUAGGG